UUUUUGGCCAUUUUUUGUAUAUUUUGAAAUAUAUUUCAAAAUGUAUUUUAAAAUAUAUUUUUUUACCGUAUGGGGGGAAACAAAGAAUGGUCCUACCGGCUCGCCACUUCAAUAUGAAGAAGAUUAAUUCAAAGGGAGGGAACAAAACCUGACCUGUAGGUCAGAAAAACGUCCAUUGGCACAUCAAGUUCGAUUCAGUUUACCGGUAAACAAAUAUAUUUUUCUGCAAGCCUAUGUAACAAUGCAAAUCAUCAUCAACCAAUGUACAACAGUUAAAUUAUUAAUUAUCUUGGCUACGUAGCUUAAUCUAUACAUUCCAGUAGCGUUCGCUACAAACAAUACAAAAACAACAAUAAAGGAAAACAGCUGUCUAACAGACAGCAUAGCCGAAUUCAAGGCAACACAUAACAAUAAUCAUUCAAUCGCACUUUGUUUCAAAGUAAGCCCAUUAAAGUGCUUAAGUAAAUAAAAGUGUUCAAAAACAGCGGUUUUUGAGCCGGAGUUCUGCUCGUGGUGGGAACGCCGCCGCACAAAGUCAUUUUUUAAUCGCGCAAACGAUCGGCUGGUUACUGACAACCAAAAGGUUGUUUUUGGUAGAUAUUAAAGAUCAUGGGUGGGCGGGGCAAAUGGAGCAGUUUUCUACAGUCGAGUAAAAUUCCAGGAAAGAGCUGGGUGUGGCUUUCCUUUAAAUCACAUGAUCAACAGCUUUAAGAUGGAGGCAACUCGCUCAGUGUUUCCUGUUUCAUUCUUAGACUGUGGCGAUGGCCGACCAAGAGCAAAAUAGAAGACAACAAUUUCUCAAAGGAGGUUGAAAACUAAUGCCUACAAGAUUACCAAGAGGAGGGUUCGGGGCUCUUACAUGACUCCGGGAAGUCAACACUUGGUGGAUGAGAUCCUUCACAGCAUGUUGUUUCUGGGCAAAAUCAACAACAUCCCCUUUUCUCCAGAAGAAAUCUUCCCUAAUCCUUUUGUUUUGGGUUCUUUAAUGAGAAGAUAUCCCAGGCCUUUAAAGUUGUAUUCGACUCAGCUUCCCAGGCGAAGUCCCUUCUCCUGUGUGCUCGACAUGAUCGUCCUGCAAAAUAACUCAGAGAAUGAAGAGCAAAUAAAGCAGAGUCUGCAAGAUCUCCUCACAGACUUGGACUUAGAAGAGAAUAAUAAAAAAACAGCUUUCGUCUCGUCCACCAUCUGCAUUUCUCAAAAAUCCCAAACCAACAAAUCAGAAAGGUACUGCGGAGUCUCCAUGUCCACCAAAGGUCCUAACGCUGGGAAAAUUAUGAUUGCUGCCUCCUGUCUUAGCAAAUGGCAUAAAUAUGUAUCUGGUGCGGUGAUGACCUAUUAUCCAAACACAGUCCAGAAAGAUUACUUUGAUGGAACAAUUGAAGUACCUGGAAAUAUCAGGUGUGAGGCUUUUUGUCUCCGUGAUGGUGCCAGAAUGAAGCCUUGCAGAUCAUGUAAGAAUUUGUUUGGCUUGAACACAGAAGACCUCAGAGAGUGGCCAUAUGGUAACUGUGCUGAAGCUGAGAGCCUGAGCAAUUUGCUUGAAAAUGAGAGAGAAGUUGAAACACAUGUGGAUGAAUACUCAGCUGAAAAGGACAACAGGCAGAGAGCUGAGGAUGAGGUUGGUAGGGUUCUUAGAACUGUGUUGCAAAGGAUUCGGUUUAACUGGACAGGUGAAUUUUACAACCCAGAACAAGAGUGAGAUUUCAUGAAAUCAUUUGCAUUCAUCAUUCUGAUAAAUCAAAGAUUCUCUGCUCUGACAGCAUCUGUGUGGAUUUUCUGUAAUCACAGAGACGUGUAUAAGCAUGUUUACUUUCCAUCUCCAUGUAAUUGUCACAUUUAAUAAUUAAAACUGGCUUCUAUGGGUUUUUGUUUGUUUGCUUACAUAUCUAGUGUUUAAUGCAAUAUGAAGCAUUAUCAGACAGCAUUUAUUGGGAAGAAUCCCAUGUUUAUACUGGUCUGUACCCAGGGUACACAGAAAAUAAAAACACAUGUUUUCUUAUUAUGAUCCCAACUAUAAUUUACUUAAGC
ensembl:lncRNA